CCUGUUUCAAUAUGCAGAGGCAAAAUCCCUGAUCUUACCUGUUUCAAUAUGCAGAGGCAAAAUCCCUGAUCUUACCUGUUUCAAUACGCAGAGGCAAAAUCCCUGAUCUUACCUGUUUCAAUACGCAGAAGCAAUAUCCCUGAUCUUACCUGUUUCAAUAUGCAGAGGCAAAAUCCCUGAUCUUACCUGUUUCAAUACGCAGAGGCAAUAUCUCUGAUCUUACCUGUUUCAAUAUGCAGAGGCAAAAUCCCUGAUCUUACCUGUUUCAAUACGCAGAGGCAAUAUCUCUGAUCUUACCUGUUUCAAUACUCAGAGGCAAUAUCCCUGAUCUUACCUGUGUACAUAGAGAUCUCUUGAGAACUCCCCCUUAAUUAAGCAAAAGGUUCUCAAUUUGGGUUUAUGGUUAAUCUCCACCACCCAUUCUUUUUUCAUAUUGCAUCAACAGUUGUUUUUUAAUAAUAUCUGUCUCCCUUAAUUUGGUUUUCAUCCAGAUGUUCACAGAUAUAACUUUUAUUUUUGGAUUGACCUCUAUACUAUGUUGGGACAGCACUGCAAACUCCUGUCCACAUUGAAUGUCUUUCUGUCUGUCGUUCUUGAGUGUUCGUUCUGUGACUUCCUCUGAUACCUCCACGACCAGAACAGUGUGUAAAAGAGAGGUUGCGGCGCGGUUCAUUUUAUGGACGGAGUUUGUUCAGCAGAAUCCCAGGCAGCGUCCUCUUUUAAUUGGCUUCAAUUUAAAUGUAUGUUUAUAGCAGACGGUGUGAUAACAGGAAAAUGUAACCAGAAGAUUGUGUGUCUCUGUGUACAAGCAUUAGCCCUCCCUCCCUCCCUUCCUUCCUUCCUUCACUCCUUUCUAUCACUUCUCUCUCCCUAACUCCCCUCCUCCCUCCC
ensembl:lncRNA